UUUAGUCUAGUUUAAGAAAAAUAGGAGCUUGUCGAGCUUCAGACACAAAAUUUUUGUGACUAAAU
rnacentral:tRNA from 1 species